CCUUGAAGGAAGGAGUACAUGGGGGCUGGUCCUCUUUCAGAGAUGGUUUGUGAAGAAAAGUGUGCCUGGGUGCUCUGGCAUUACUUGCAUUCAGGCGGCGCCCCCCCCCCACACACACACACACCUGGGUCCCCGGGGUGCAGCCCCAGGUGGCAGCACCCACCAAGCCGCGGCAGGACCCGCGUCCUCCGCUCCACCCCUGCGCAGGGAGGGGAACCCGGCAGUGCGGACGCCCAGGACAACGCAGGUUACUGGGUCCCCAAUCCCACGUAGCAGCCCCCGAGCCGGUGAAGCCAAGACCGAGGAGGUGGAGCAGCUGUCCCUCACCGGUGGCUGGAGGCCGAAGCUGCGGACUCUGUUCAGCUCUGAAUUACAGUGAUAUGGAGGGAUUGGAGCCAGCACUUCAGAGGGCCCUUGGAACCACAAGAGCCCCCUGGAACUUGAAUACCCCAGAGAACGGAGGCUUGGGCCACCGGGUUCCAGAUGCUACCAUGAUGCCAACUGGACUUCCCUGGGCAGACGACCCCACCAUGUGUCCUGGAGCCCCACUUACCCAGAGCCCUGCCCCACUAGGGAAAGGGAGACAGGCUGGGAGUAUGGAUCCACUUGUCAAUGCUCAUGUCCAGUGGGAAAGCAAUUACAGAAGCCAGACCUUCCACCUUCUCAUAAUGUCCCUUAUUCCAUGCUCCCAGAGGGAUAAGGAAUAGGAAAGCUCUGAGGGCAGGGGAUGGGAUACGGAGUUCUGGUGGUGGGAAUUGUAUGGAGUUGUACCCCUCUUAUCCUAUGGUUCUUGUCAGUGUUUCCUUUUU